UCAGUGUUUCCCAUUGACGCGAUAUUGUGCACAACCAUACCGUGCGUAGUCGCGUGUGGGAAACGGUCAACUGACUAUUUCUGUAGUCUGCUGUGCCCUAUACUUGUGUGCAUAGUUGGCCGUGUACAGAUAUAGUCAUAUCGGCGGUCCAAAAGGGAUUUUGUUCACGGUCCAAAAAACUGGUAGCCGAUAUGUGUGUUAUAUUUUAACUUGAGAGUGCGGGAACCAUUGCAGUUAACUUUGGAGUUCGUGCAAGGUGUACCGGUGCUGGUGGUUCAGUGAGAGGACAAAUGUCGAGACAUGAUCGCCUGCAAGAAAUCUCUUCGCUUCCGAGUUAUGUUCAGGUUAUGAUCAAGGGCAGGAUUCCCAGCAUUUCAUGAGAGCAAAAUUCCCUGAUGUAUCCCCGAUGACACUGCAAGAUUCCAAGGUAAUCCUUUGGUCUAGUUUCAGUUUGACAUUACUUCAGACUGACCACUUUCUCAGACCUGCCAACCUCUUGAAAACUUAAAAAAUUGUAUUUUGCACAAAAUGAGCCUAGGCUUAUUCCUCCACAUGAUCGUUUUGACCACUUGCAAUGUCCUUUCCUUGAUGUGACUUUUCCCUGAUUUUUCCAGGUUUUUCCUGAUACCUAGGACGGUUGGGAACCUUGAAGAAAUACACAAAUAAAACCCUAGAAUUGAAUUCACAAAGCUUACCAAAGAAAAAGUUAACUUAAGAACAGUUACUGCAAAGAUUGGAGCAAUGUUAUGAAGACAUUUUGCAUUAAAAAUCCCAAUUUUCACUCUCAAGUAGUUUACUUGUUGAUAAGAUUUAACAGUUUAUAAAUAAAUGUUAACUAAAAUCUCUGCAUUUGAAUAGUAUUUUUGCCGAUUUUUGGUUCAUCUGUUAAUUCUGUUUUACUUUUUGCUUACAUAACAGAAUCAUCUGCAGCUAGUACAUUAUGUUUGAUAUUUUCAGUCUCAUAUCUUUGCAGACUUUGACAUUUUGGUAGUGAAAACAUUUUUCAUCACAUCAAUGGCAUGCUGUAGUUGGGUAACCUCAUACUUAUUCUUAAAAGAAAUUGUCCACAAAACUUUAAAAAUGGGAAGUAGCAAGGAUUUUCUUAUAACUUUGAACUGUUUUGCAUUACAUAGGAUAAUGUAAUUAUGAGAUAAACUGGAUCAUAGUUUGUUUUCGUGCAACCGGCUAAAUAUAUGAUGUUGACGUUAUCUUUAAUAACUUUUUUAUUUUAAUAACUUGUUAGUCAAAAAUACACUGUUGUGGUAUGUAUGCGUGAAAAAUAAGGCAAGUUCUUUUAACACUAAGCUGUUUUCACGUCAUAUUCCUGUGAUAAAAUUUCUGCACUUGGGAUAUCACACAAAGCAUAGCUGUAUCUGAAAUCGUGAGAUCAAGAAUAAAAAAUCAAGUCAGGCUUACAUGGCAGAUAAUCUUCCUGGUCUGAAAGAUUUUUGCUAGGACACCUUAAUCAAAUAAUGCCACAGAUUGAGAUUU